rnacentral:rRNA from 1 species
GACGAACGCUGGCGGCAUGCCCAAUACAUGCAAGUCGAACGAACAGAUGAAGUGCUUGCACUUCUGACGUUAGCGGCGAACGGGUGAGUAACACGUAAGGAAUCUACCUAUAAGCGGGGGAUAACAUUCGGAAACGGGUGCUAAUACCGCAUAAUAUCUUCUUCCGCAUGGAAGAAGAUUGAAAGACGGCUCUGCUGUCACUUAUAGAUGACCUUGCGGUGCAGUAGUUAGUUGGGGGGGUAACGGCCUACCAAGACGAUGAUGCAUAGCCGACAUGAGAGGGUGAUCGGCCACAUUGGGACUGGGACACGGCCCAAACUCCUACGGGAGGCAGCAGUAGGGAAUCUUCCGCAAUGGGCGAAAGCCUGACGGAGCAAUGCCGCGUGAGUGAAGAGGGCCUUCGGGUCGUAAAACUCUGUUAUAAGAGAAGAACAAAUUGUAGAGUAACUGCUACAGUCUUGACGGUAUCUUAUCAGAAAGCCACGGCUAACUACGUGCCAGCCGCCGCCGUAA